GACGAACGCUGGCGGCGUGCCUAAUACAUGCAAGUCGAACGCAGUGGGGACGGGUGCGUAACACGUGGGUAACCUCCCAUCAGAGGGGAUAACAAUUGGAAACAGGUGCUAAACCGAUACUGAUGGAUGGACCAGCGGUGCAUUAGCUAGUUGGUGGGGUAAAGGCUCACCAAGGCCACGAUGCAUAGCCGGUCUGAGAGGGUGACCGGCCACACUGGGACUGAGACACGGCCCAGACUCCUACGGGAGGCAGCAGUAGGGAAGCUUGGGCAAUGGGCGAAAGUCUGACCGAGCAACGCCGCGUGAGUGAAGAAGGGUUUCGGAUCGUAAAACUCUGUUGUUAGAGAAGCGGUAUCUAACCAGAAAGCCACGGCUAACUACGUGCCAGCAGCCGCGGUAAUAC
rnacentral:rRNA from 1 species